rnacentral:rRNA from 1 species
UGGGGAAUAUUGCACAAUGGGGGAAACCCUGAUGCAGCGACGCCGCGUGAGCGAAGAAGGUUUUCGAAUCGUAAAGCUCUGUCCUAUGAGAAGAUAAUGACGGUAUCAUAGGAGGAAGCCCCGGCUAAAUACGUGCCAGCAGCCGCGGUAAUACGUAUGGGGCGAGCGUUGUCCGGAAUUAUUGGGCGUAAAGGGUACGUAGGCGGUCUAUUAAGUCAGGUGUGAAAGCGUGAGGCUUAACCUCAUUAAGCACUUGAAACUGAUAGACUUGAGUGAAGGGGAGGAAAGUGGAAUUCCUAGUGUAGCGGUGAAAUGCGUAGAUAUUAGGAGGAAUAACGGUGGCGAAGGCGACUUUCUGGCCAUAAUCUGACGCUGAGGUACGAAAGCGUGGGUAGCAAACAGG